rnacentral:rRNA from 1 species
GACGAACGCUGGCGGCGUGCUUAACACAUGCAAGUCGAACGAAGAGCGAUGGAAGCUUGCUUCUAUCAAUCUUAGUGGCGCACGGGUGAGUAACGCGUAAUCAACCUGCCCUUCAGAGGGGGACAACAGUUGGAAACGACUGCUAAUACCGCAUACGAUCUAAUCUCGGCAUCGAGGAUAGAUGAAAGGUGGCCUCUACAUGUAAGCUAUCACUGAAGGAGGGGAUUGCGUCUGAUUAGCUAGUUGGAGGGGUAACGGCCCACCAAGGCGAUGAUCAGUAGCCGGUCUGAGAGGAUGAACGGCCACAUUGGGACUGAGACACGGCCCAGACUCCUACGGGAGGCAGCAGUGGGGAAUCUUCCGCAAUGUACGAAAGUCUGACGGAGCAACGCCGCGGGAGUGAUGACGGCCUUCGGGUUGUAAAGCUCUGUUAAUCGGGACGAAAGGCCUUCUUGCGAAUAGUGAGAAGGAUUGACGGUACCGGAAUAGAAAGCCACGGCUAACUACGUG